UACGGGGGGGGGCAAGCGUUGUUCGGAAUUACUGGGCGUAAAGGGCUCGUAGGCGGCCAACUAAGUCCGACGUGAAAUCCCCAGGCUUAACCUGGGAACUGCGUCGGAUACUGGAUGGCUUGAAUUCGGGAGAGGGAUGCAGAAUUCCAGGUGUAGCGGUGAAAUGCGUAGAUAUCUGGAGGAAUACCGGUGGCGAAGGCGGCAUCCUGGACCGACAUUGACGCUGAUGAGCGAAAGCUAGGGGAGCAAACGGGG
rnacentral:rRNA from 1 species